rnacentral:rRNA from 1 species
CCUACGGGAGACAGCAGUGAGGAAUAUUGGUCAAUGGCCGAGAGUCUGAACCAGCCAAGUAGCGUGAAGGAAGACGGAUCUAUGGGUUGUAAACUUCUUUUAUAGGGGAAUAAAGGUAUCCACGUGUGGAUUUUUGCAUGUACCCUAUGAAUAAGCAUCGGCUAACUCCGUGCCAGCAGCCGCGGUAAUACGGAGGAUGCGAGCGUUAUCCGGAUUUAUUGGGUUUAAAGGGUGCGUAGGUUGUUUUUUAAGUCAGUGGUGAAAGUUUGUGGCUCAACCGUAAAAUUGCCGUUGAAACUGGCAGUCUUGAGUGUAGUAGAGGUGGGCGGAAUUCGUGGUGUAGCGGUGAAAUGCAUAGAUAUCACGAAGAACUCCGAUUGCGAAGGCAGUUUACUAAGCCAUAACUGACACUGAAGCACGAAAGUGUGGGGAUCAAACAGGAUUAGAUACCCGAGUAGUC